rnacentral:rRNA from 3 species
UUAAGCGGAGGAAAAGAAACUAACCAGGAUUUCCUCAGUAGCGGCGAGCGAACAGGAAAGAGCCCAGCACCGAAUCCCGCGGUUCCGCCGCAGGGAAAUGUGGUGUUUGGGAGGGUCCGCUUAUCCCGAGGUGUCGCGUCGCGUCCAAGUCCAUCUUGAAUGGGGCCACUUACCCGCAGAGGGUGCCAGGCCCGUAGCGACCGGUGCGCGUCUCGGGAGGAUCUCUCCUUAGAGUCGGGUUGCUUGAGAGUGCAGCUCUAAGUGGGUGGUAAACUCCAUCUAAGGCUAAAUACGACCACGAGACCGAUAGCGAACAAGUACCGUGAGGGAAAGUUGAAAAGAACUUUGA